rnacentral:rRNA from 1 species
GACGAACGCUGGCGGCGUGCUUGACACAUGCAAGUCGAGCGGUAAGGCCCUUUCGGGGGUACACGAGCGGCGAACGGGUGAGUAACACGUGGGUGACCUGCCCUCAGCUCUGGGAUAAGCCUGGGAAACCGGGUCUAAUACCGGAUAUGACUCCAUGACGCAUGUUGUGGGGUGGAAAGCCUUGUGCGGCUGAGGAUGGGCCCGCGGCCUAUCAGCUUGUUGGUGGGGUGANGGCCUACCAAGGCGACGACGGGUAGCCGGCCUGAGAGGGCGACCGGCCACACUGGGACUGAGACACGGCCCAGACUCCUACGGGAGGCAGCAGUGGGGAAUCUUGCGCAAUGGGCGAAAGCCUGACGCAGCGACGCCGUGUGAGGGAUGACGGCCUGG